rnacentral:rRNA from 1 species
GCGAGUGAAGCGGCAACAGCUCAAAUUUGAAAUCUGGCUCUNUCNGGGUCCGAGUUGUAAUUUGNAGAGGAUGCUUCGGGUUCGGUUCCGGUCUAANUUCCUUGGAANAGGACGUCANANAGGGNGAGAAUCCCGUANGUGACCGGCCGCCNCNCCCGUGUGAAGCUCCUUCGACGAGUCGAGUUGUUUGGGAAUGCAGCUCAAAAUGGGUGGUAAAUUUCAUCUAAAGCUAAAUAUUGGCCAGAGACCGAUAGCGCACAAGUAGAGUGAUCGAAAGAUGAAAAGCACUUUGGAAAGAGAGUNAAACAGNACGUGAAAUUGUUGAAAGGGAAGCGCUUGCAACCAGACUUGCCCGCGGGCGANCAACCGGUAUUCUUACCGGUGCACUCGCCCGUGGUCAGGCCAGCAUCGGUUUGGGCGGCUGGAUAAAUUCCNCUGGAANGUAGCUCCUCUCGGGGAGUGUUAUAGCCNGAGGUGCCAUGCAGCCCGCCCGGACCGAGGACCGCGCUUCGGCUAGGAUGCUGGCGNAAUGGUUGUAANCGACCCGUCUUGAAACACGGACCAAGGAGUCUAACAUCUAUGCGAGUGUUUGGGUGUCAAACCCNUGCGCGUAAUGAAAGUGAACGGAGGUGGGAACCCUUAAAGGUGCACCAUCGACCGAUCCUGAUGUCUUCGGAUGGAUUUGAGUAAGANCAUAGCUGUUGGGACCCGAAAGAUGGUGAACUAUGCCUGAAUAGGGUGAAGCCAGAGGAAACUCUGGUGGAGGCUCGCAGCGGUUCUGACGUGCAAAUC